rnacentral:rRNA from 1 species
UGGGGAAUUUUGGACAAUGGGCGCAAGCCUGAUCCAGCCAUGCCGCGUGCAGGAUGAAGGCCCUCGGGUUGUAAACUGCUUUUGUACGGAACGAAAAGCCUCUUUCUAAUAAAGAGGGGUGAUGACGGUACCGUAAGAAUAAGCACCGGCUAACUACGUGCCAGCAGCCGCGGCAAUACGUAGGGUGCGAGCGUUAAUCGGAAUUACUGGGCGUAAAGCGUGCGCAGGCGGUCUUGCAAGACAGUGGUGAAAUCCCCGGGCUCAACCUGGGAACUGCCAUUGUGACUGCAAGGCUGGAGUACGGCAGAGGGGGAUGGAAUUCCGCGUGUAGCAGUGAAAUGCGUAGAGAUGUGGAGGAACACCGAUGGCGAAGGCAGCCCCCUGGGCCUGUACUGACGCUCAUGCACGAAAG